ensembl:lncRNA
GGGGAUCACCUCCCAGCCUAAGGUUGCUUUCUGAGGUCCGGGCUGGAACCUAUGUUCCUUUAAAUCUGCCCAGAUCACCGGGAAAUGCUGCCUUUGCUGGGUUUGCACGCUGAGCACCUGACACACCUGCUGCUGAGGCAGCGUGAGUCACCCGCACAGACACUGCUCACUGGACUCCAGUUCAGAGCUUGGCUGUCACGCACCCCGGAUGUCAUCCCCCACCUACCCCUCUGAAGGCAUGUCAGGACAGAUCAGGCUCUAACCCAAUGUCUACUCAACGGCUCACCCCCAGGGGAAGCACAGGGAAGGAUGGAGGGGGUACACAAGGAUGCGUCUCCCGUUCAUGGUCAAGGGUCUUCUCCCCUCUGUGUCCUGGAACAUCUCAUCUGCCCUGCUGGCCAUAAAUAGGGCGGAGGGGAUCCUGAACUGAAUUCUGGCCCCCACUUUGAGCAUCUCACUGUGGAUAUAUGAGGUGUCUGGCUCGCCUCUCUUCCCAAGCAGGUGCUCGUGGCACUGACACCCUGCACACCGUUCAAGAGAGAUCCGUGACAGCUUCCAGAAGUCUUAUUUGCAGGACGGACUUCUGGGUGAGAAACGGAUUGGCCCUGCCAGCAGGGCCGGAGGUAGGAGAGGAAGUUUCACAUCUGGGAAAGCAUCCCCAGGAAACCAUCUUCAGGGGUGAAGUCGGGGAGUUGAGGACAAAGAGAGAGAAGGAAAGGGAGGUCCCUGGUUUAUCUGUGCAUCGAGGUGGACUCUUGCUCAGUCAUUCAUUCAACAAACAUAGACUGUAG